AGUUUUGCCCCAUAGUUGCGCAAGCAUCAGUUUUGUUGCUGAACAACCAACCGGUCUUUAACGUCAUUGCAAUGCAUUAACUACCAAAAAAAUCAAGACCGCCAAGUUGAAUAAUACACUUUAAUCAAUUAAAGAUUUUUUGCUUCACAUUUUAUACUGGAAUGUUAUGAUUCCCCAUCUGUAUUUCUUUACAGAUAAAAUGUCCCAUCUAGCCAUCUUCAAACCCCAUUAUCCAACCAACCGCAUUGAAAUUCUGGGAAUACAAACAAAACAUCAAAACCAAAACAUAUGAAACCACUACAUGUUGUCCUUUUGAUUAAGUGGAGGUGGUGUCACUGGCAGGAGAGUCCUCCUCGCAGUAGGACCAAAGUAUUCCCUCUAUUGAUGGUUGUUUGAUAUGAACCACAGUAUAUUGGUCGGCUCUUCCUUUUCAAUGACUGAUACGUUUGUAAAUAGUCAACGGCGAGCUUGCUAUGGAGCUUUUAAACGAUUACUUUUCGAGAACUUCUGCUGCUUACGCUUUUCCAUCUUAACAGUUUCUCAAUACCACAGCCAAUACCUAAAGCUACAUAUUGAGAUUAAUCAAUCUAAUGAGAAAAAAAAAUGCCUUUAGUGGGUAAACAGGUGCCAUUAAAAUGGAUUUGCGGUGAACCUGCAGUUAUGAAACAAAAACAUGAAAGACCACCUAGGCAGUCCCACUUUCUUCUAAAUCUGGUCCAAUGUAUAAAAUACAAAAUGUCUCUGGUAGAGGAUGCAUGACUCUUUUGGAGGUGGGGAUGAUUUUAAUUACUCAACCUCAAUAGCAGGGAAGAUGAACCAGCUGAAUACCGACUAGCUCCUCAGCCAACACAACAGGGUCAUGUUCAUUAGGCUCCAAAUGGAAGAAAACUGACUGAAUCAGGGAGGGACUACCUGGACUUAUAUGAGAAAAAUCAAAAUGAGAAAAUAUAUAUUUUUGUUUUCUGUUGCAAAACAGUGCAAAUCUUUUCCCGUUUUGUGUUCUAGUGAACAUGUCCCUGAUGCCUGUCUGUAGCUAGUAUGGUUCCUACCCCACCACUUAACCAAGAGCACCACCCAUCUCCCUUCCCUGCUGCCCCUUUAG
rnacentral:lncRNA from 1 species